GACGAACGCUGGCGGCGUGCUUAACACAUGCAAGUCGAGCGGUAAGGCCCCACUUGUGGGGUACACGAGCGGCGAACGGGUGAGUAACACGUGGGUGACCUGCCUUCAGCUCUGGGAUAAGCCUGGGAAACUGGGUCUAAUACCGGAUAUGACUUUCUGUGCAUGCCGGGGUGGAAGAUUGUUUGGUCGUGGGAGUGGCCGUGCGGUCGUAUCAGCUUGUUGGUGGGGUGAUGGCCUACCAAGGCGACGACGGGUAGCCGGCCUGAGAGGGCGACCGGCCGACACUGGGACUGA
rnacentral:rRNA from 1 species